AGCGAGUGAGGUAUAUUAUUUGGUAUCAAACAUAUUCUCUUUGUCAUUUAUCUUUCCCCUUUCUUCUCUAUUCAAACUCCUCAUCCACGUCUCAGAAAAACCAACCCAGCUACCAGGCUCAAUCUUCUCCAUGGAUGGGGAAGUUGAUUUCACCGUGGACUAGAAGUUAUAGAAAGUUGAACAUUUUUUCAUGAAUGGGAAAACUUGCUUCGCUGUUGAUAGAAGGUUAUUUUCCAUCUUUAACAAUUAUAGGUAUUAGGAAAGUUAUGAUGUAGGUAUUGUUGUUAAACACCUUAUCUUCACUUGUUGUGAGGACGAUUUAUUGAGUGUAAUUUAUACUGUGAAAAUAAAUUUAUUGGUAAUCCAUGUUCCAUUCUCUUAGUAUACAAAA